GUCAAACAUGCUAAAAUCAUAAUCUAGUUCGAUUUUAAAAGCUGGUUUUUAAUUAAGUUUAAAAUUGUAAUUUUAUAAAAAUCAUAAAAAUUUCAUAUGUUUUCUAAUAACCAUUUAAAUAAAUUGAUUUUGUCAUAUUUUAUAGAGAAAUUACCUAUAAUAACUCAUAUUUUUUGUGUAAUGACUAGAUUAACACACAAAAAGAGAAAAG
rnacentral:lncRNA from 1 species